UACGGAGGUCGCAAGCGUUGUUCGGAAUCACUGGGCGUAAAGCGCGUGUAGGCGGCUCUGCAAGUCGGGUGUGAAAUCCCGAGGCUCAACCUCGGAACUGCACUCGAUACUGCUUGGCUCGAGUCCCGGAGAGGGUGGCGGAAUUCCCGGUGUAGGGGUGAAAUCCGUAGAUAUCGGGAGGAACACCAGUGGCGAAGGCGGCCACCUGGACGGUGACUGACGCUGAGGUGCGAAAGCGUGGGGAGCAAACAGG
rnacentral:rRNA from 1 species